GCAGAUUUGUUCUUCCUCUUCUUCCCAGGAAUUAGGUUUUGGUUUUUUGAGUACUUUCACAGGUUCUGGAUGUUUCUCCCUUCUUUCAAAGCAUCAGGUGCUGGAUUCUGUUAAAGGCAGGUUAUUGGCAUCACUGGACCUUUGACUCAGUGCUAAGCAGAUGCUCCACUGUAAUGAGAGGAAACAGAAGUGGAAAACGAGGAGGCUCGUACUUAAACAAAUGAACAGAUGCAGGGAGUGGAAAACAACAAGGAAGUGAAAAACACAUUGGAAACAACAGCCCUGCACAGGUGGUGAAUUAUGCUGCCAAAGUCAUUGCCAAAACAGAAUCAGAUCUUGAAUCGCCUUUCAAGCUGGGGAGCAAGCACAGAAGUUUUUUUCAUAGUGGAUGAUCCUCUAAUCCAACAGAAAAGGGCACAAAAACAUCCUGAGGCACCUAGGAAAGAUCUUGCUCGGUUAGCAAAUUGAGUCCUUGCUGUCAUAGAAAGCGAGUCUUGUGAUCUUUCCCAUAGGUUUAGGGAUCCUCCUAUUAAAACUAGUUAACAUUUUCCUAACCUACUCUUCUGGCUGGAAAUCUGUCAUUGACGGACAUGAACCAUCUUCUAAUUGCCAGCCUUAAUUUAUUCAUGACAUAGUUAAAUACCUUUGUUCUUGUACCAGCCUUAACCCUCAGCUUGAGAGGCUUUUCUUUCUCCCUGAUGUUUAUUACCCUCAUAUAUUUUGUAAAAUUGCAUAAAAACAGCAUUGUAGGGAACCAUUUAUGGUUAACUAGUCCCUAUCCUCAGCUCAAAGCCAACCCAGUCAUCCUGACAAAAUUCCUGAUUGAUAUUUGUGUAACCCAUUUGUGAACACAUUGAGCAGUGGAAACAUCCACGCUGCCCACAGUGGAUGCAUGCUAGUGUUUUGCUUCUCCACCUUCACAUCCAGGAAGAGAAAAUGUGCUGCUUCGUUUUUAACUUCAAAGGGGGGAAUUAAAAAAGAAUGAGGAAGAAUGAAAAAGCUUACUCUCUAGCCAUCUAGGCAAACCAAACAGGAAUAAAUACAUAAAAGGAGCAAUCAAAAGGGUCAAAUUCUUGGAUUAUAGCAUAAAUGCUUUAAGUAGA